UGAGACAGAGAGAAGGGCAGGUAUCACUCCUAAUGAACAGAAACGCUCUGCAGUUCAUCUUGAUUGCCACCUUGGUUGGCUUGAGUGAAACCUGGGAGCUUAGUAAUGCACACUUCCGGGUGUGUCCCUGAGGGCAUUCUCAGAGAUAACUGGCCUGUGGGCCAGCAGACUGCAGGGGAGAAACCUGCCCCGAAUGUGGGCAGCAGCAACCCAUGGCUUGCGGCCCACAUGACACAAGCGCAGGGGAAAGACAGGGCUCACAAGCUCAGUCUGCUGAAGUAGGUGUGUCUUUUGCUGCUGUGAUCUCCUGUGAACAUCAACCCCAAUGUCUUCAGCCCUGCCCAGUGGACUCCAGCUGCACCUCUCCAAGGAGCUGCCAGGCCUUCCGCCUGGGACUGGAGAAGCAUUCUUGAACUUUCUUGUCCUAUGGCGUCCAGUUUUUCGGGCUGACAAGCUACUGGAUCCUCUGGCUCUCCAGCAAGCAGAGGGACCCUGUCAAACUCUCCAGCCUCUGAUCCUGAUGAUGGUGCCAUUCCAGAAUCUUCUGAGCCUCAGACCUUCCAGUGCUGACUUCAGAGCUCCUUCUGUCACACCAGAGACUACUUGAGUGAGUCUCAAAUGACUGCAAAGAAGCCUAUUGGAAAACAGAUCUCUGACACACAGACUGAACGUCAAGGGUAGCUGGAGCUCUUAACUUCAUCUGGAGAACCAGUCUGUUUGGAAAAACACCACCACAGAAGGAAGGAUCCCCUCAGCCAGGCUUGAGCGUGAACUGCUGAAAUUCCCCAGCUCAGACGCCUUUCUGAAAAGGUCAGUGAUCAGACAGCUGGCUGCGAACACAGACUGGCAACGUGUGAGCACAGGGGGACCAGGCGAGAGGUCGC